rnacentral:rRNA from 1 species
AGAGUUUGAUUAUGGCUCAGGAUGAACGCUAGCUACAGGCUUAACACAUGCAAGUCGAGGGGCAGCAUUUGAAAGCUUGCUUCAAAGAUGGCGACCGGCGCACGGGUGAGUAACGCGUAUCCAACCUUCCCCUUAGUAGGGCAUAGCCCGGCGAAAGUCGGAUUAAUACCCUAUGUUUUCCGUUGAGGACAUCUGAAGUGGAACAAAGAUUCAUCGCUAAGGGAUGGGGAUGCGUCUGAUUAGGUAGUCGGCGGGGUAACGGCCCACCGAGCCAACGAUCAGUAGGGGUUCUGAGAGGAAGGUCCCCCACAUUGGUACUGAGACACGGACCAAACUCCUACGGGAGGCAGCAGUGAGGAAUAUUGGUCAAUGGACGAGAGUCUGAACCAGCCAAGUAGCGUGCAAGGAUGACGGCCCUAUGGGUUGUAAACUGCUUUUGCAGGGGAAUAAAGUGAGGCACGUGUGCCUUUUUGUAUGUACCCUGAGAAUAAGGACCGGCUAAUUCCGUGCCAGCCGCUGC